GAGUUUAUGCCCUUCGGGGUAGAUCUCUUACCUUUUGUAUACCAUACCUCUAUUGCUUUAGCGGGCCGCCUAGCUAUUGGCUUCGGCUAGUAAGUGCCCGCUAGAGGACCUAAAACCUUAAAUAUUAGUGUCGUCUGAGUAAAAAGUUUAAUAUUUAAAACUUUCAACAACGGAUCUCUUGGCUCU
rnacentral:misc_RNA from 1 species